rnacentral:rRNA from 1 species
CCUUGAAAUACCACCCUUUAAUGGCUGGUGUUCUAACGUAGACCCGUAAUCCGGGUUGCGGACAGUGUCUGGUGGGUAGUUUGACUGGGGCGGUCUCCUCCCAAAGAGUAACGGAGGAGCACGAAGGUUAGCUAAUCCUGGUCGGACAUCAGGAGGUUAGUGCAAUGGCAUAAGCUAGCUUGACUGCGAGAGUGACGGCUCGAGCAGGUGCGAAAGCAGGUCAUAGUGAUCCGGUGGUUCUGAAUGGAAGGGCCAUCGCUCAACGGAUAAAAGGUACUCCGGGGAUAACAGGCUGAUACCGCCCAAGAGUUCAUAUCGACGGCGGUGUUUGGCACCUCGAUGUCGGCUCAUCACAUCCUGGGGCUGAAGUAGGUCCCAAGGGUAUGGCUGUUCGCCAUUUAAAGUGGUACGCGAGCUGGGUUUAGAACGUCGUGAGACAGUUCGGUCCCUAUCUGCCGUGGGCGCUGGAGAAUUGAGGGGGGCUGCUCCUAGUACGAGAGGACCGGAGUGGACGCAUCACUGGUGUUCGGGUUGUCAUGCCAAUGGCACUGCCCGGUAGCUAAAUGCGGAAAAGAUAAGUGCUGAAAGCAUCUAAGCACGAAACUUGCCCCGAGAUGAGUUCUCCCUGACCCUUUAAGGGUCCUGAAGGAACGUUGAAGACUACGACGUUGAUAGGUCGGGUGUGUAAGCGCAGCGAUGCGUUGAGCUAACCGAUACUAAUGAACCGUGAGGCUUAACCUUACAACGCCGAAGCUGUU